rnacentral:rRNA from 1 species
UGAUCAGCAUGCCGCGUGUGUGAAGAAGGCCUUCGGGUUGUAAAGCACUUUUGUCCGGAAAGAAAUCUUCUGCCCUAAUACGGCGGGAGGAUGACGGUACCGGAAGAAUAAGCACCGGCUAACUACGUGCCAGCAGCCGCGGUAAUACGUAGGGUGCGAGCGUUAAUCGGAAUUACUGGGCGUAAAGCGUGCGCAGGCGGUUCGCUAAGACCGAUGUGAAAUCCCCGGGCUUAACCUGGGAACUGCAUUGGUGACUGGCGGGCUAGAGUGUGGCAGAGGGGGGUAGAAUUCCACGUGUAGCAGUGAAAUGCGUAGAGAUGUGGAGGAAUACCGAUGGCGAAGGCAGCCCCCUGGGCCAACACUGACGCUCAUGCACGAAAGCGUGGGGAGCAAACAGGAUUAGAUACCCUGGUAGUCCACGCCCUAAACGAUGUCAACUAGUUGUUGGGGAUUCAUUUCCUUAGUAACGUAGCUAACGCGUGAAGUUGACCGCCUGGGGAGUACGGUCGCAAGAUUAAAACUCAAAGGAAUUGACGGA